rnacentral:rRNA from 1 species
UACGGGGGGGGCAAGCGUUGUUCGGAAUUACUGGGCGUAAAGGGCUCGUAGGCGGCCAACUAAGUCGGAUGUGAAAUCCCCAGGCUUAACCUGGGAACUGCAUCCGAUACUGGAUGGCUUGAAUCCGGGAGAGGGAUGCGGAAUUCCAGGUGUAGCGGUGAAAUGCGUAGAUAUCUGGAGGAACACCGGUGGCGAAGGCGGCAUCCUGGACCGGCAUUGACGCUGAGGAGCGAAAGCCAGGGAAGCAGACGGG